CACCAAUGUUUAACAAUUUUAAUGAACUUUAAAAAAGUGUCAUAUUUUCACUGUGAAUCAUUUCACAUUAAAAUCUGUGGUUUUCCUGCCAGAAUUAUCUUUAGGGAAAGCUAUGUACUUUCAGCCAGAUUUGGAGCACAGGGAAUGUGAGUGAACUGGAAGCAGAUCCCACAAGAAACUCAGGUGUCACAGGGGGGAUUUCCUGAGCAUCUGGGUCCUGGUUCUGUUAAUAUUCCCUGUGACAAUCUUAGCCACACUCCCCGACACACACACAUGACAGUGACUCAGUCAGCAUUUGAGCAUGGGUUAUUUAGGUCAGUGAAAUUUCUCUCUCACACAUUUCUGGCCUCUCCUAUUGAUCCAUGGCAUCCAUGCUGGGUUUUCAAGGAGAAGAACCAAAAGACACGAGGGGAGAGAGGAGGAACACCCUGA
rnacentral:lncRNA from 1 species